AGGAUAUGUCGAGCUGUCGAUAAGCACGGCUGUUUUUGUGCUCUUAUGUACUGUUAGCCUGUUCUGGCUGGCGUUAGUGAGGCUGUUGUCAACUGGAUGUCACAUUGUUGAACUCUGAUGAUUAAUGAACUCUCGAUGUGACGAUGUGAGCAUGUAAUUGUAACCCUGUGUUCAUUUAGGCGUUUGAUACCGUUUAAUAUCCAGUCCAUCUGUCUGGUGUUUUGUUUUUAACAUGCCCUGGAAUAAUUUAAAGUUUUACAAUGCCGGUGAUUUACGACUCUUUCGCGACAGUCAGCUGGGGAGUAAACUGUGGCGGUUCUCAGAGGUAGCUCAUGUGAGCCAGCAGUGACAUCUGUACAUGUAGUAGCCUUAAAAUGCUGAUUAUUUAUUCUCCUGCUAGGACUCUGGGAGGUAGCAAGGGAGUGUGAACCUUAAGGUGUGAAACAGCUGUGUACUGCCUUUUGUUCCUGGAGAAGUGGAGGAGACUUUUCUGCUGAGGAAGAGGCCGUGCUGUCCUGCCGUCCUACUGGUGCCAUUGAGGGAUCAGCGGCUGCUAUAUAUCCUUCUCGACCUCGAGUAUUUGGACUGAAGGACUCACAGACACGUUUCAUAUUUAGCUCUAUAAAAGAUUUUAAAAAGAUUUUUUUAAAAAUAUUUUCCUGGCCAGCCAUUUUCUUAUUCACACAGGCUGUAUGGAGACCUUUUGGUUAUUGCCACAGACGCUUUCUCUUACUACGGAUGGAGGAUGUUGUGGUUUUACAACCCAUGGACUGAGAAAGGACUGAAUAAGUAACCUGUUCACAUAUCCCAGGGUUAAACACAAAACAGGAGGCGAGAGCAGAGAACAAGAGUGCAGCAGGUUGGUGAAAGGUGAAGAAGAGGUGAGCAUCCAAAAGACAGAGGACAGUUUCAAAGGAGACAUCACGGCACAAUAAAAGCUAGAGAAACUCACCUGAUGUAGUGGUAAGGCGUUAUUCACCACUAGAUGGAGACAACCUGGCACAGAGAAAGACUGGACUCAGAGUGGUCAAGCUCAAAAAAUGAUCUUUAUUUUUACAUUUGUGGAAAUGGAGACCCGCCACACGAACACACAAGCUCAGGUGAGCAGAUCCAGUGUAUGUCAUCAGUGAGCUGGUGAAAAGAUGCCAGGACAAGAACAUCAGCCUGAACUUCAUAUACGACACUGUGUGUGCUGUCCUCACAUAUACAUAAGUGCAGCUCCUUCAGAGAUGGGACAAAGAGGAGGUCACCAGCCUGCUGAGGCCAAGUUCGAUUUGAUUUUCCAGUCAACGCUGAGAGACCUUGACCAGGAAGUCAGAGGUCAGCUCAUGCUGCGAGCAGGAAAUGAAUCAAGGAAGAAGGAUCGCUCUACUCAAUCUCAAAGAAAAUCUCCUGGGAGGUUGUGGUUGCUUCUUAGACUACCAUGACCUGGAUGACUGAGAACCUACGCAGACACAUUCUGAAGGAAGGACUCCACACUUAUUGGACUGAUUUAACUGUGUUCAUUGUCAUCUAGCAAAUUUUGCUUUAAUGUGUCUCUAUCGACAACACAAAGCAUUUUUUUUCACUAUUUAUAAAACGUAGAAGACUUAAAAUAUAUCUGCAGUGCUUGGUGUAAACUCAGUGAUUCAAGCCGCAGUUGGUUGGAGUCCAACAGUCUGCAGAGGCCUCCACAGUCCACCGUCUUCACAUCACAAGGACAGUUUCCACAUGUCUGUGACGUCUCCUUGUUCUUGUACUCAUGCCUUGAUGAACAAGUUUUUGUCAUGAAUAUUUCUCAGACAGAAGAAGGUGAUAUUCCAACAGAGCUGAAAAGGAGAGCCGUCGAUGCCUUACAUUUGAAGAGCAGAGCAGCUGAAGAAAAGCUGUGACUCCAACGUGAGAUGGACGCUGUGACUCAUCACCUCCACCAGCAACACACUGACCUGCAUUCAUCAAUAGAUGACACUCAGGACUCUGGUUCCACAGCUGUUCCUGUUCACAGCUGCAUCCAGUUAGAGAGGAAACUGUAUAAUGCAAUGAUGAUGUUCCAGUGUCCUGCAGAUGGCGUUCUUGCAACGCGUUCAAAGAGCCGACACUGAUGAUGCUGCUCUGCUCAACUUACUGUUAGCCUGGGUUGGACUCUAUAUGAGCAGCUUCCACUCUGGUUUCACUGUUAAAUACACUUGUUUGAUUUCACUUGGAAAAGCUGAAAAAUAAAUAUUUUAUUGCAAAAUUAUUUGUUGGUACAUUUCUUGAGGGUCAAAUAUCUUGUUUGAUUUGAGGAAUGAACUGUUAAGGUGUUAAAAAUGAAUCAGGUUAAAAUAUUUCAAUUUCAAUUUCAA